GUACCAGUGGUCUAGUGGUAGAAUAGUCCCCUGCUACAGACCCGGGUUUGAUUCUCGGCUGGUGCA
rnacentral:tRNA from 1 species